AACGUACGCUGGCGGCACGCUUAACACAUGCAAGUCGAACGAAGUAGCAAUACUUAGUGGCAGACGGGUGAGUAACAUGUGGGUAUCUGCCCUUUGGCCUGGAAUAACACGAGGAAACUUGUGCUAAUACCGGAUAAGUCUUUACGGAGAAAGCUUUAUGCACCAUUGGAUGAGCCCGCACUUGAUUAGUUUGUUGGUGGGGUAAUGGCCUACCAAGACUGUGAUCAAUAGCUGAUUUGAGAGGAUGAUCAGCCACAUUGGGACUGAGACACGGCCCAAACUCCUACGGGAGGCAGCAGUGGGGAAUCUUGCACAAUGGAGGAAACUCUGAUGCAGCGAUGCCGCGUGAGUGAAGAAGGCCCUUGGGUUGUAAAGCUCUUUCGUCGGGGAAGAAAAUGACUGUACCCGAAUAAGAAGGUCCGGCUAACUUCGUGCCAGCAGCCGCGGUAAUACGAAGGGACCUAGCGUAGUUCGGAAUUACUGGGCUUAAAGAGUUCGUAGGUGGUUGAAAAAGUUAGUGGUGAAAUCCCAGAGCUUAACUCUGGAACUGCCAUUAAAACUUUUCAGCUAGAGUGUGAUAGAGGAAAGCAGAAUUUCUAGUGUAGAGGUGAAAUUCGUAGAUAUUAGAAAGAAUACCAAUUGCGAAGGCAGCUUUCUGGAUCAUUACUGACACUGAGGAACGAAAGCAUGGGUAGCGAAGAGGAUUAGAUACCCUCGUAGUCCAUGCCGUAAACGAUGUGUGUUAGACGUUGGAAAUUUAUUUUCAGUGUCGCAGCGAAAGCGAUAAACACACCGCCUGGGGAGUACGACCGCAAGGUUAAAACUCAAAUGAAUUGACGGGGACCCGCACAAGUAGUGGAGCAUGUGGUUUAAUUCGAAGAUACGCGCAGAACCUUACCAACACUUGACAUGUUCGUCGCGACUCUAAGAGAUUAGAGUUUUCGGUUCGGCCGGACGAAACACAGGUGCUGCAUGGCUGUCGUCAGCUCGUGUCGUGAGAUGUUGGGUUAAGUCCCGCAACGAGCGCAACCCUCACUUUUAGUUGCCAUCAUUAAGUUGGGCACUCUGAAAGAACUGCCAGUGAUAAGCUGGAGGAAGGUGGGGAUGACGUCAAGUCCUCAUGGCCCUUACGUGUUGGGCUACACACGUGCUACAAUGGUAUCUACAACAGGAAGCAAGACUGCGAGGUCAAGCAAAUCCUUAAAAGAUACCUCAGUUCGGAUUGCACUCUGCAACUCGAGUGCAUGAAGCUGGAAUUACUAGUAAUCGUGGAUCAGCGUGCCACGGUGAAUGCGUUCCCGGGUCU
rnacentral:rRNA from 1 species